rnacentral:rRNA from 1 species
AUUGAACGCUGGCGGCAGGCCUAACACAUGCAAGUCGAGCGGAUGAAGGGAGCUUGCUCCUGGCUUCAGCGGCGGACGGGUGAGUAAUGCCUAGGAAUCUGCCUGGUAGUGGGGGAUAACGUCCGGAAACGGGCGCUAAUACCGCAUACGUCCUGAGGGAGAAAGUGGGGGAUCUUCGGACAUCACGCUAUCAGAUGAGCCAAGGUCGGAUUAGCUAGUUGGUGGGGUAAAGGCCUACCAAGGCGACGAUCCGUAACUGGUCUGAGAGGAUGAUCAGUCACACUGGAACUGAGACACGGUCCAGACUCCUACGGGAGGCAGCAGUGGGGAAUAUUGGACAAUGGGCGAAAGCCUGAUCCAGCCAUGCCGCGUGUGUGAAGAAGGUCUUCGGAUUGUAAAGCACUUUAAGUUGGGAGGAAGGGCAGUAAGUUAAUACCUUGCUGUUUUGACGUUACCAACAGAAUAAGCACCGGCUAACUUCGUG